ensembl:rRNA 5S_rRNA 5S ribosomal RNA
CAGAGCAGCCAUAUCACCCUGCAACUCACACCUGGCAACCCACUGAAGCUCAGCAGGUGUGAGCCUGGUCAGUACCUGGAUGGGAGACCACCUGGGAAAAACUAAGGUUGCUGCUGGAA